GUGGGGAUACCUCAGUGGUAGAGUUCAUGCCUAGAAUGCACGAGGUCCUGGGUUCAAUCCCCAGCACCUCCA
rnacentral:tRNA from 1 species